AAGCAUAUCAAUAAGCGGAGGAAAAGAAACUAACAAGGAUUCCCCUAGUAACUGCGAGUGAAGCGGGAAGAGCUCAAAUUUAAAAUCUGGCGUGCCUCUGGUCGUCCGAGUUGUAGUCUAGAGAAGCGUUUUCCGUGUCGGACCGUGUAUAAGUCUCUUGGAACAGGGCGUCAUAGAGGGUGAGAAUCCCGUCUUUGACACGGACUACCGAUGCUUUGUGAUGUGCUCUCAAAGAGUCGAGUUGUUUGGGAAUGCAGCUCAAAAUGGGUGGUAAAUUCCAUCUAAAGCUAAAUAUAGGCGAGAGACCGAUAGCGAACAAGUACCGUGAGGGAAAGAUGAAAAGCACUUUGGAAAGAGAGUUAAACAGUACGUGAAAUUGCUGAAAGGGAAACGCUUGAAGUCAGUCACGUCUGCCAGGACUCAGCCUUGCUUCUGCUUGGUGCACUUUCUGGUUUGAUGGGCCAACAUCAAUUUUGACCGUUGGAGAAAGGCUUUGGGAACGUGGCACCUUUGGGUGUGUUAUAGCCCUUUGUUGUAUACAACGGUUGGGAUUGAGGACCGCAGCACGCCUUUAUGGCCGGGGUUCGCCCACGUACGUGCUUAGGAUGUUGGCAUAAUGGCUUUAAGCGACCC
rnacentral:rRNA from 1 species